UGCUUGAAUCUCCCUGCCCAAACUUGUCUCAAUGUUUCAACAUUAGUAGAAAAAAAAAAGAAUUUAAAAUAGCAUCCAGUUCUAUCCUUAGAAGACAUUCCUUGUUCAGGCAGAAUUAUCAUCACGAGUGGAACUAAAAAUCAAUUAAAACUUUAUAUUUGUCAUGGGCCAAAUGGGGGUGGGGGUAAGAUGUGUAUUGAAGAAUUUCAUUUAAUAGUUGUUCUAAAAGGAGAAUAUACAGAGUCACACUGAUUAAGGAACAGAAAUCAAUUUUAAGACCUAACUCUUUUCCCCCAAAAAUGAGAAGUGUAGAAGCAAAAACAAACUUCCACCCGUAAUCAUAAUGGGAAAUUUUAUAUGUAGUACAUCAUGGCAGAUAAACAGAUAUUUUUAUGAAAAUCUGUAAGUGGGCACUGGUUCUCAGCAGCCUAAUAAAAUAUCACUUUAAUGGAUAAUAAGGCAUAAAACUUUUCUUAAUAUAUUUAAAAUCUAUUUAUGGAGUACCUGCUAUAUGUCUGUUGCUGAUCUAUUUGCUAAAGGGAGACAUACAGAGCAGUGAUUCUCCAACUUUAUUGUACAGUAGAAUCACAGAGAAAGCUUUUAAACAUCCCAAUAUUAAGACCACACCUAAAACAUCAGAGUUUCUGUGGGGCAUGCAACUAGUUCAAAUACCACCAGUCCAAACAGACCCCAUAGUUUUAACUUAAGGGUGUAUUUAUAAUGUUGAUUAUAUACUUAUUAAAGCCCAUUCAGUGUGUGUGUGUGUGAAAGAGAGAGAUAGAAAGAGAGAUCAUUAAUGAUUUAAAUAGGUCAGCAUAACUAUGGUAUUUGGAAUGUGAAGGAGAAUUUGUCCUAAUUUGAGAUCUCAUUUCUAUUAACACAAGAGAAUUUGUGGAAAGGUGAACAGUAGUACACUUCUCUCAUAAUUUCCUCUGAUUUUUCUGUUGAAAUGUUGGUGUCAGAUUAUAUAACUCCCACUGGGCUGCAAAUAAGCUACACUAAAAAAAAGUGAUGGAUGUGAGCACAUGAGCUGUCAUAUAAUAAAGAUAAAGAUUUCUUUUUCUAAAUUUAUAUAGCAUCAUGAGGAGACAUAGCCUGCCUGAACUCGUGCAAUUAUUACGAACAUUCUGUAAGUGAAAGAAAACAGGUCUGUAAUCAGCUUUAUAAAUGA
rnacentral:lncRNA from 1 species